rnacentral:rRNA from 1 species
CCUACGGGAGGCAGCAGUGGGGAAUAUUGGGCAAUGGGCGCAAGCCUGACCCAGCAACGCCGCGUGAAGGAAGAAGGCUUGCGGGUUGUAAACUUCUGUGGACAGGGAAGAGCAGAAGACGGGACCUGUCGAAUAAGCCACGGCUAACUACGUGCCAGCAGCCGCGGUAAUACGUAGGUGGCAAGCGUUGUCCGGAUUUACUGGGUGUAAAGGGCGUGUAGCCGGGCUGAAAAGUCAGAUGUGAACUCCGGGGGCUCAACCCCCGAACUGCAUUUUAAAAUGUUGGUCUUGAGUAUCGGAGAGGCAGGCGGCUUUCCUCUUGUAGCCGUGACAUGCGUCGAUAUUAGG